rnacentral:rRNA from 1 species
AUGAACGGGUCGCCGCACUUGUCGCUGAUGGUGUGCAGCGUCUCGCCUUCCCCGACCACGUACACCUCGUCGCACGGCCGCGCCGCCGCGCCGCCGAGCCGCGGGCCGCGGAAGUACGCCGCGGCGCCUUCCCCGUCGCCGUCCGCGGUCUCCGCGCUGAGCGCGCCCAGCAGCACGAGCGCGACGAGCGCCACCGCGCACCACCACGACGCCGCGUCCGCGGCCGACACGGCGGCGGCGCACAGCUCCGCGCGCCGGAGGCUGGUCGCCGGCGCGGCCAUGCGAUCGAGGGAGCGCACGGACCUCGUGAGCGUGUGCGUCUCCGUCUGGGGCGGGCAGAGGGAGGUUGCCUUGGCUGGCUUAGGGGGUUUCUGUGGGGCUGGGCCGCGGGAGGCGGUUUAUAACGCGUAA